CUACAUGGUCUCGUCGGUGUCAACAAGAAAAAUGCAACAAAGUGUUUUUAUACCACAGCUCUGUGUUGACAUCUCACCGAGUAAUGUUAAUGUAGCAUUAGCUGUCUCAGACACCCCUGAAUAAUUAUUAUAUGAUAUAUAUGCUUUGUUACAAUAAUAAUUUGUCACGUUUUACAUAGUGAGCUGGAUAAAAAACAUUACAGCGUACGACCCCUAAUAACUGAGAUUAUCAUAUAACCAACAUAACAUAAUCUAAUAUUAAAGCCUCCUCUGAGUUUUGUGAGAAUUCAAUAUUUUAGCUGUUCUGGGGUCUAACUGUAUUCUUUGCAAUAAAGACAGGAGGGGGGGCCUUGAGCAGGUUGGGCCAGUUAUAAGGCCUUUAUACAAAUGAUUUAUAAAUAACCCUUGCUGCAUAGUGUUAAUAAUGAAUCUUAUAAUUGUUCUGAAUUCUAACUUUUGGUAUUAAACCAUUAUUCCCUUAGACUCAUCACAUCACAUAUAUCUCAAGCAGCUGUCUGAUAAGUUCUGGAGGUCGAACAGAGUGACUUUGUUGACAUUGUUUUGUUUCGUUGUUUUGGUUUCGAGGAUCCUAAUGUUUACAUCAACAGGACUUUGUUUGGAUAUAGCAGGAACAUCAUAUUCCUUUCUCCAAUGGCCUACAUGGCAUCAGCUGUGUCAAGGCCUUUCAUGAAGAGAACAUUUUGAUUAGCAACUAUCAGAGUAGUAGUAGCGUCACGGAGAGCAGCUUCUUGUCACUUCCUGGAUUCCUUGACAAGAGGCGGGGGACUACAGCUGCGGACCAAUAAGGGAGAACCAAAUUGAUUUGCGACACUUACUGAAGAGAUGCGUGUGGAGCAGCAAAGGGGCUGACCGCUGCAGACAUGGUGACCCACCUUCUGCUGGAGUACCAUGGUGUUCCUAUGAACUGUAGGGACACACCUUUCAGACAGCCAGAGGAAAUGCUCUGGUCAGGAUCCUGAAAACUGUCUGAGUCUACCACUGUACUUCUCCCAGUACCAGGACACAGUCAUUUUUGCAAGUCCCAAGUAAGUCUCAAGUCUUUGCCCUCAAGUCCAGAGUCAAGUCCCAAGUCAAGACAGGCAAGUCCCGAGUCAAGUCCAAAGUCAAGACUGACAAGUCUCAAGUCAAGUCCAAGUCCUGCAGUUUGAGUUUUGAGUCUUUUCGAGUCCUUUUGAUCACUGAGUAAUAAUAUAUUUACACGGAUCAUGUAUGCUUUUAAAAUCCGUAUUUAUUUAUUUAUUAAAACAAGUGCAAUUGAAAUUACAGAAAAAAAUUGUGCCAACAUCGCACUUCCCUAUUGCACUAUUAACCAGUCAUUUUUUAACAUUUAACUCAUAUUUUGCAAGAAUAUUCUUCAUUUUAAACCACUCCUACAGAAUGAACACAUUUGAAAAAACAGGUGCAACUGUUAUUAUUUGUACAAAAGUGCUAACAUUGUAUUUUGCAUUUUAACUAGUUCCACAGCAGUUUCUGUCCUGUCCUGUGUUUAUCUCAUCUCAUUUAUCUCACCUCAUAUUGUCUGUGUGUGUGUGUACAUGUGAGAAACAUAACAAAUACAUGAACAUGAACAUUUCUGUCCUGUCCUGUGUUUAUCUCAUCUCAUUUAUCUCACCUCAUAUUGUCUGUGUGUGUGUGUACAUGUGAGAAACAUAACAAAUACAUGAACAUGAACAUUUCUGUCCUGUCCUGUGUUUAUCUCAUCUCAUUUAUCUUACCUCAUAUUGUCUGUGUGUGUGUGUACAUGUGAGAAACAUAACAAAUACUUGAACAUAACAAUGAACAGGGUUGUGCUUUUAAUAUGUCAGGGCCCUAUGCUGAAUUGCAUUUGCAAAAGACCAAAUUGGCCAAAAGUCUGUCAGUCAUUUGUGCACGAUGUGGACGUAGUAUGAUUCCACCUAGUGCCGCUGCGAGCCAUUUUGGUGCCCUAAGCAUAACUCCUCUAUAAUUACAUUAAAUAAUCAUCAAUAAGUACAAACAAGAAUAGUCAAUCUUCUUUAACUUUUUUUGAGCAAUUUAAUAUAUCUCUUGUUCUGCCUUUUUUGUGAUAUACAUGGCUAAAAGGUACCUAAUAUUUCUAUACUGAAAUAAUAUCGGCAUUAUAAUUGUAAGCUAAUUUAUUUAAUGACGUUAUUGUUGAGGGUUGAUUUGUAUUUCCGGUUUUAAGAGGGUUGUUGGUAGUGACUCUUAUUUUGAAAGGGGGUUUUAAAGGAAGUGGGUGCUGUGAUGAGUGAAGUUGUAAAAUGAACGGAGAAUAGACGGGUGUGCUGUCCCGAGCGCAUGACCUGCUCUCGUGUCCUUUGUCGGCUGAAGCCGGACUUAUGAUACAACCAAACGCUCGGCUACAUAAUUAUAAUAACUAUGAUCAUUUUUCAGUUGCUUUUUUUUGGUGCCCCCUCAGGACUUGGUGCCCGACGCACAGCGCGUAGUGCGCGUUUUGGGAGCGGCGGCGCUGCACACACACACACAGACGCACACAAACACGAUGACAGAUACAGAGCGCUCCUUAAUAACAUACUUUUGAAUCUUUGUGUUUUGGGGAAAAGAGCAAGUCUUAUCAAGUCAAACGGCUCAAGUCCAAGUGAAGUCACGACUCAUUGAUGUUGAAGUCCAAGUCGAGUUGCAAGUCUCUUUACAGUUUGUCAAGUCGAGUCUAAAGUCAUCAAAUUCAUGACUCGAGUCUGACUCGAGUCCAAGUCAUGUGACUCGAGUCCACACCUCUGUCUUUCAGUGUUUCAAACCUGUUGGUAUCAUCAUGUCUAAAUGAGAUGUGUCUCUCCAUCAUUCCAGAUGUCUUGUAGACAGUGUGUUACCAGGGUCUUCAUCUAAAUUCCUCCAGCGAGAGCAAGAAAGCCGGUUGUGCUUCAGUGUGCAAGCCUUCCACUUCAAGCAGGAUUCUGGGGAACAGAUGUUCAUCAGCUGCCACCUGAGGGCCACUCUGAAACAAAACUCCCAGAGCCGCCUGAACAAAGCCUGCUUCUUCCACAGGCCCACAUUCAGACACUUACUGAAGAGAUGAGUGUGGAGCAGCACAGGGGCUGACCGCUGCAGACAUGGUGACCCACCUUCUGCUGGAGUACCAUGGUGUUCCUAUGAACUGUAGGGACACACCUUUCAGACAGCCAGAGGAAAUGCUGUGGUCAGGAUCCUGAAAAGUGUGUGAGUCCACAACUGUACUUCUCUGCCUACAAGUGUUUUACAUAUUCACACAGGCAGUACCAGGAGGAUGUUAGGGUAUCAGACCGCUCUGGAAGCUUCAUAUAGUACCACAGGUAUUCACACAACUGCAUAAAAGUGCAGAAGGAUAUCAAAUUCCCUGUUUGUGCAAACUUACUUGGCCAAUAAACCUGAUUCUGAUCUGA